rnacentral:rRNA from 1 species
GACGAACGCUGGCGGCGUGCCUAAUACAUGCAAGUAGAACGCUGAAGGAGUAGCUUGCUUCUCUGGAUGAGUUGCGAACGGGUGAGUAACGCGUAGGUAACCUGCCUGGUAGCGGGGGAUAACUAUUGGAAACGAUAGCUAAUACCGCAUAAGAGUAGAUGUUGCAUGACAUUUGCUUAAAAGGUGCACUUGCAUCACUACCAGAUGGACCUGCGUUGUAUUAGCUAGUUGGUGGGGUAACGGCUUACCAAGGCGACGAUACAUAGCCGACCUGAGAGGGUGAUCGGCCACACUGGGACUGGGACACGGCCCAGACUCCUACGGGAGGCAGCAGGAGGGGAUCUUCGGCAAUGGACGGAAGUCUGACCGAGCAACGCCGCGUGAGUGAAGAAGGGUUUCGGAUCGUAAAGCUCUGUUGUAAGAGAAGAAAGAGUGUGAGAGUGGAAAGUUCACGCUGUGACGGUAUCUUAACAGAAAGGGACGGCUAACUACGUG